rnacentral:lncRNA from 1 species
UUUAUCUUUUGAAACAACAUUUGUUAAUUUAUACGGAACCUAAUUUUCUACGUCUUGUCUCUGCUGUGGCGUGGGAAAGAAAGAAUGAAUGACGUCACAGUUAUCAAGGUUAAAAUAAUCAACGUCACUUAUAAUAUAUUAAUUCCAUAACGUGUACAAAGCGGAACAACUCCCAAAACGUAUGCCCACUUUCCUCCGAUAACCGGAUUUAUUCUUCAUAGGAAUAAAUCUUAUUA